CUCAGCCUCCCAAGUGCUGGGAUUACAGGAGUGAGCCACCACGCCCAGCCUGAUGAAAUUUUUCCUAUAAGGAUGAGUUCUCAUUCUGCCCCCGAUCCUUCUGUCUGUCUCCUUUCAUUUGUGAAUUAGAUCUGUUUCCAGGGGAAAAGAGUCAGUGCCUUCAGCUAGAAAGGCUGGCAUUGUAUGUAUUUAAACUUUUCUGGCCAUUAUUAAAUGAGCAGCUUCUUCCACUACAUCGUACCUCUGGGAUGUAAACCUGCACUGCCAGAAUAGGAGGCACAGCCUGGUAAAUUUACUACAACACACUGAUCUGUGGAAUUAAAGAUAUUUUUAUGAAAUCCAUUGCCCCUGCCUACAUCCAACACAGAAUUCAACAGCUUUUUUGCUUUCUCUCGCUUCCAAAGAGUUGAUGGACACAACUUAGCUCGGAUGGUUGCCACAUCUGGUAUGUAUAGACAGAAGGAUCUGAGUGGAUGCCUCUCAGACAGAAUGAGCUUUUCUUUGUUUUUGUUUUUGUAUUGUUUUGGGUACCAGGGAUCGAACUCAGGUCUUGGCGCUUGCGAGGAAGAAGGCAGAAGCACUGAGCUAAAUCCCUGGCCCUACAAACAGAAAGAUCUUGAAACUAGGUGGAGAAAACAGUUACUUGGGGAACGCAGAGGGGCACAAACACUGGGGACAGUUUCAAUAACUACAUUGUAGGAUGGACACCAUCGAAUGAACAUCCCAA